AUUGAACGCUGGCGGCAGGCCUAACACAUGCAAGUCGAGCGUGAAAGUCCUUCGGGAUGAGUAAAGCGGCGGACGGGUGAGUAACGCGUAGGAAUCUACCUGAUAGUGGGGGAUAACGUUUCGAACGGAACGCUAAUACCGCAUACGUUCUGAGGAAGAAAGCAGGGGAUCUUCGGACCUUGCGCUAUCAGAUGAGCCUGCGUCCGAUUAGCUAGUUGGUGGUGUAAAGGCCUACCAAGGCGACGAUCGGUAACUGGUCUGAGAGGAUGAUCAGUCACACUGGAACUGAGACACGGUCCAGACUCCUACGGGAGGCAGCAGUGGGGAAUAUUGGACAAUGGGGGCAACCCUGAUCCAGCCAUGCCGCGUGUGUGAAGAAGGCCUUCGGGUUGUAAAGCACUUUAAGCGGGGAGGAAGGCUCUAUGGCUAAUAUCCAUGGGGAUUGACGUUACCCGCAGAAUAAGCACCGGCAAACUUCGUGCCAGCAGCCGCAGUAAAAC
rnacentral:rRNA from 1 species